rnacentral:piRNA from 3 species
UGCCUAAGGAGGGGUGAACCGGC